UGGGUGCAAAACUUGUCAUCAACUACUCUUCCAACAGGGACCAGGCUCAACUUGUAGCCGAAGAGAUCAAUUCUUCUUUUCCUCACAAUCAUUCCCCUCGUGCCAUAACAGUCCAAGCCAACGUCUCCGAUCCAUCCCAUGUCAAGUCUCUUUUUGAUGAGGCUGAGAGGGUUUUUGGGUCGCCCGUUCAUGUCUUGGUGAACUCAGCUGGAGUGUUGGAUCCCAAGUAUCCAUCCAUAGCUAACACUUCCUUGGAGGAUUUUGACCUUACUUUCAGUGUUAACACGAAAGGUGCAUUCUUGUGCUGCAAAGAGGCGGCAAAUCGGCUCAAACGCGAUGGUGGUGGCCGAAUAAUAUUGGUAUCAUCAUCUAUGGUAGGUGGAUUGAAGCCAGGCUUUGGUGUAUAUGCAGCUUCAAAAGCAGCAGUAGAGACAAUGGUAAAGAUAUUAGCAAAGGAACUCAAGGGAACUGGGAUUACUGCAAAUUGCAUUGCACCAGGUCCUAUUGCAACAGAGAUGUAUUUUUCUGGGAAGACUGAGGAGCAAAUUCGGAAGAACAUAGAUGAGUGUCCACUAGGCCGGCUUGGCGAGACCAAGGACAUUGCACCUAUUGUUGGGUUCUUGGCUACUGAUGCUAGUGAGUGGAUUAAUGGACAGGUUAUUCGUGCCAAUGGUGGAUACGUUUAGGACUUGCAGAUGCACCAUACUGAAUACUGCAGGAAUUUGAAUAAGUGAUGCUUUGCAUUUCAAAAAUUUCAUAUGAAAUGGGUUUCUACGGGUUAUCAAAAUCCAUAUUGUUUUUGUAGCACCUUCAAUGAAUUAGUUUUCUCAAGUCUUCUUGUGGAAUGGGUUUUUUAUUAUGUUGAACAGUCCUUUCAGAAAGGAUCAAAGGAAUAAGGAUGCAAUUUUCAAUCUGUAUCAUCACUACAUGCAUUUGCUUGCUUGAAAGUAUGUGAGCCAAUGGUAACAGGCUCUAAGAAUGUAUCACUGAAUUCGAUCAGCUCCGUUGCCUUCUAUUAGCCAAAGGAAGGAAGCAAGCACACUGUAUGCUUCUAUUUCUGUUGAAUUAGAAACUUAGAAUGGAUUUAGCAAGUUUACAACUCAUUUGACUCUUUAAAUAUACUUAUUUUCUCAAAGGAUUUGUGGUGGAGAAUUUGGAUACAUCCUGGUGACAUUUACAGGAAUCUGAGGCUUCCCAUGCCUAUUCUGUGCAUAUAUGCUCUGUGCCAACACAGUGGAUAGCCCUAUAUCUGCUCAUUGCCUAUGUAUCAUGUAUGCUUAUCUUAGCCUAUUUUAGUAGAAAAUCUUAGAAAUGAGAUCUCAUGCCUUUUGCACGACUUGAAAUUGCCAAGCUAGACGGGCGGAAGAAACUUGGGAUGGUAGACAAUAUCAAGGUUGCAAGCCUUGCAAGUUACAACUACAUCUCUUGCUAUCUUUCAUCAAAAAAUGGUAUGCUCCUCCAAUCCAACCAAGCUCUUUCCAAGGCAUGAUUUUACAAGGUUCCAUGUCCAAAUUACAACAUAUUUGGGCCUGCCACCAGGGCUAUUUUGUUUUUUCAUUGGGUCUCCAUUAAUGCAGAUCCCUUCUCUUACUAUAUGUAGACAUGAUCUUCUCUCUCCAGGCGACUAACCCAAUUUUAAGUAUCUUGUCUUUUGCUUUGCAAAUUGACACAAUUCUGUGUCUUUUGGUUUCGGAUGAUUUAGGCUUUAAAGUGUCUUGGAUUGAUUGUUU
rnacentral:misc_RNA from 1 species